rnacentral:rRNA from 1 species
UACAGAGGUCUCAAGCGUUGUUCGGAUUCAUUGGGCGUAAAGGGUGCGUAGGUGGCGUGGCAAGUCUGAUGUGAAAUCCCGGGGCUCAACCCCGGAACUGCAUUCGAUACUGCCAUGCUUGAGCACUGGAGAGGAGACUGGAAUUUACGGUGUAGCAGUGAAAUGCGUAGAUAUCGUAAGGAAGACCAGUGGCGAAGGCGAGUCUCUGGACAGUUGCUGACACUGAGGCACGAAGGCUAGGGGAGCAAACGGG